rnacentral:lncRNA from 1 species
UUGAAGCUUUUGCUUCCUCUCUCUACUCACUCUCUAACCUCUCUCCUCAAACCAAGUUUAAGGGUCCAAAAUCAUCAAAUUUAAGCUCCAAAUCACCAAGGUAACUACCCUAACUCCUAGUAUAACAUCUUAGGCCUUCAAAUUCGAGUUCAGAUCAUGGAAUAGGACCAUAUUCAUGAGUUUACAGCCCUAGAAAAGUCCUAGGCCGUGAACUCACAUAAAAUGGGUUUUGGAGCCCCAAAACCCUUCCAAUCAACCUUUGGAGCUUAGAUACUGAUUAAUGGCUUAAUGGAACGGACUUGGAAUGCCUUAAGCAUGGAUUUUAAAGAGUAAACAUGAGGUUAUUGCCCAAGAGCAUGCUUGGGCCAUAAACUCAUUGUUCAUGGAGAGUAAACUCCUCUAAAUGUGUUAAAAUGCCACUUUAACACACCUAAAGCCUUGGGAUAAAUUCUAGAAGUGUUUACAAACAAGUAUUGGACCUUAAAACAUAUUAUAACACCCUUCCAAGGAGUUCACGACCAUGAGGGGUUUCAUGGGCCGUAAACUCAUAAAACCAUGUCAAAAGUCCCUUAAAAUCCAUUCAAAGCUUGGAAAAAUCAUUAGAAUCACAUGUGAUUGAUUAAUGGACCAAAACAUUAAGGAUCUUGUGUGUGGGGGGUUUACGGCCGUAAACUCCAAUAAAUGGUCCCUAAGUGAGUUUAAAUUCAUUCCUAUGCCUUAGAUGCAAUCCUAGCUAAAUUAUCCAUGAAUUAUGAAGCCAUUUAGCAUCCAAAAACACCACUUAUGAGUUCACGGCCGUGAACUCAUGUGGGUGUGGUAUUUAGGGCCGUAAACUCCCUAAGGAGUUUACUCUUGAAGUCCCAAUUCAAUAUCCUAGCUAUAUGUGUCCCCAAAUGUCACCCGGGUCCUUCCAAACACUUGUAAGGGAGUGUUUCCGCAACUAGAAGUGUUUGUCUCUACCAAAUAAAUAAUCUAAGUCCUAAUUAGAUACAAAUAUGUAUCUUUUCAUAAUUCAUAGGAACCUCGUGCGUUUGAAAGCCCCGAACCAAUGUUUAGCAUACGAAAUUGUCACGUUCCUCGUCUGGUGAGUUCAUACCCCUACCCUUUUAAAUGGUUUUUCAAUGUUUUCAGGGGGGAAUACAAGCAAACUACAACUGUUUUUAAAACAUAACACUGAUGUGCUUCAAAUAAUAUCUAGCAAACUUAUAAAUACCUUUACCCCUUUAUGUAUUAUGGUGAGCAUAAGGGAUGAUUUAUUAACCACAACUAUAUGAAAUUCAGUUAAGGAAAUAACCAAACUAAUCAAAUUAUUAUGGGAAUAAUUUGGGAUUCUUUAGUUCUUGUUUAAUCACGUACUGAUAUGUAUAUAAAAUUAUUAGAUAAACUAUGUCUGAUUCAGUUUAUCUCCGUAUCAUUUGGAUGUAUUGCCAGAUAGUUUCAUUGUAUGUAUCUGUAUUCACUGUAUUAUGCUUCAUAAUCUUUUGUAUGUUUGAUAUCGUAUGAGAACCCUGUGAAUAGUUUAGUACUAGCUUGUGAGUUCGUCACUACCCUUUAUGGAUGAUCAGUAAAUCCUCCCCGGAAGUGUAACCAGAGUCUCCUGGAGGGAGAGCGAGGAAUUUGUGAAUAGAUCUAUUCGGGACUGACAAUCCCACACCUUAACUGCUAGCUACAGUUAGGCGGGCACGCCUGGGGUGACAAAUUCUGGAUAUCGUCCGACGUCUGACAAGCGUCAAGGAGGUCUCGUUGUCGUAUCAGCAUGGUUACCCGACUCACAAUACGUAUUAAUAUAAGUUUAUUCACGACUUUAGUUUUGGAUUUGAUUUUAAAUCAAUCUUCUAUCUUUAGAUCUUAUAUCUAGUACGGGAUGGUAAUCCCAUGGUUUUUGGUCUAUAGGGUUCAUAUCUAUUGCAGGAUGUUAUUCCUAUGGUUAGAAUCUAUAUCUAGUUCGGGAUAGUGAUCCCAUGGUUUUAUAAACUAUCUUAUAUCUAGUUCGGGAUAGUGAUCCCAUGGUUUUAUCAAACUAUCUUAUAUCUAGUUCGGGAUAGUAAUCCCAUGGUUUUAACAAACUAUCUUGUAUCUAGUCCGGGAUGGUAGUCCCAUGGUUUUCAGUCUAUAUUUUCAAGUAUAUCAAACUAUCUUGUAUCUAGUCCGGGAUGAUAGUCCCAUGGUAUUAAAUCUAUAUGUAGUACGGGAUGUUAGUCUCAAGGUUUUCAAACUAUUUUCCAUCUACAGUUCACGUAUAUUAAAGUAUUUUAUAUCUAAUUCGGGAUAGUAAUCCCAAGAUUCUCAAUAUAUAGUUUUGUUUAUUAAACUAUACUCUGUGAUAUUAAAUCGGUCUGUAUUUAGGAAAAUAUGGGAUUUUCCUGGGGUAACAUAUAACGCGUAAUUGAACUAUAAUGAAGGAUUAUUAAACUAUUUUACAUAAGAAAAUAUGGGAUUUUCUAGGAUAACAAACCUUUUCGGAAAACUGAAGGAAACCGGUACAUUUUUCAUAAAACAAACAUCUUAUGAACUCACCAGCUUUAUGCUGAUUUUCAAACCUCUUGUUUUCUCAGGUCCACGUUAGACAGGUACCCGGCGAUAUCUUUUGGUGAAGACGGGGUGCUCAGAAGACUGGUCUCUACUUUUGUUCAUAUGAUAUAUGUAUAACUUGUACAAUUUACUUUUGAACCAAAUGUAAACUUUCAAAUAUAUGUAAUGUAAUGGUUGUUUACUGUGAUUACUAUGUACAUUGGAUUUGAUACUCAACGUGGAGUCAACCCCGGAAACGUUUCCGCCUUUGGUUUUCGGGGUGUGACAGAUUGGUAUCAGAGCCCUUGUUUAUAGUGAACAGAGUAUACCAAACCUUACAUGGUAUAAAACUAUAAACAUUAAGGGGCCUAAGUGCUCUGAUCUAAAAGUAUCCUACAGAAUAUAAGUAUUUUCAAAAGUAUAUAAGUAUACCGAGCCGUCGAGAUCCGUAACUACAAGUAGAACAAAACAUAAGUAAAUGGGUGUUGUACGCUGCGGUUAAACCUGGGUAGUUAUGUAGUCGUGUCUAGGGUCAAUAUAGCCUGGCCAACUAUAUUCAUUCGAGACACGGCCAACAUGUGCUUGGGAGNUCUUGGGAGUGACUGUGGUACGCAGCAUGCCUAAAACUUACCCAAUAUCCCAAACAACAAAUCGUCGCUGCAGCGAACCAUGAAAUACUAUGGGAGUAUUUCUCAAGCCGAUCCUUUAUAGAAUUCUCGCAUACGCGUUGUUCCUUGAUCGUUCCUCUAGCGAUAAAAUGUUCUGUCUUUAUAACUCUUUCCUGCCUUAUCUCUUAACACGGUGCUAUAUCUGUCUUUAUGAGAUAUUCCAUGUUCCAUAUCUCUUGAUUCAAUUCAGAGGACUUAUGAUCCUCUCUUUCCUGAUCUUAUUAGACCACGAUGCCUGCAAGAAACAGACCCAGCUCAAAGAACACCAACAACCCUCCGCCACCACCUCCUACUGAAUUUGACCCUGUGAUGUUCCAGGCAGCUGUCAAUGCCGCGGUGGAAGUUGCUAUGUCUCAAAUGAACUCGGAUGGUUCCGGUGGUACUCAAACCCAAAACCAAGAGAAUAGUCAGGGACACGAAAAAGGGGGUUUCUAUAAAGACUUCAUGAACGCGAAGCCCACAUCCUUUGAUGGCACUGGAGGUGUCAUUUCCCUCACCCGAUGGUUCGAGAAAAUCGAAUCAAUCUUUGAAAUAUGCGCCUGUUCGGAGUCAGAUAAAGUAAAGUUCGCCGCCUGCACCUUUCUUGACAAAGCCCUGACUUGGUGGAACGGCCGAGUCAAAUCCUUAACUCUACCUGUAGCGAAUGAUAUGGGUUGGGAAGCUAUGAAGGAGCUUCUACUCGCAGAGUAUUGCCCUCGGGGCAAAAUUCAGAAGUUAGAACACGAACUCUGGAACCUAAAGAUGAAGGGUUCCGACAUAGCCGCUUAUACUUCAAGAUUCGAUGAUCUAGCGUUACUCUGUCCGGGAAUGGUUACCCCGGAGAGUAAAAAGAUUGAGAGGUUCAUCUGGGGAUUGACCCAGCUAACCAAAGGGAAUGUCUUGGCUGCGGAGCCAGACACCUAUGAUAGUGCUAAAUGUCUUGCGCAAAUCCUGAUUGAUCAUGAAGAUAGCUCUGAUGAGGAGGCUACCACUCCCGAGCCAGUCCCCAGUGGAGGUGGAAACAAAAAGAAAUUCUGGAACAAGCGGAAGGCUCAGAUCACGCAAGGGUCUUCUAAGAAACAGCAAACAGUAGCAGUCCAUGCUGCUACUGCCCCUGUUGCUGUUUCAGUUGUCGGGUCCACGGCCCAAACUCCUACCAGUGGAUACACUGGUACCCUUCCUUGGUGUGGUAAGUGCAGCUACCACCACCGCAUUCCUGGUCCAUGUCGCGAAAGGAUCUGUGACAACUGUGGCAAGAAGGGCCAUCUUGCUCGAACUUGCAGAAAACCAGCCAAAUCAACGAACCAAUCAUCCGGAGCAGGAAUCAGUCCAGCCUGCUACAGUUGUGGCGAAGUAGGGCACUUCAAAAGAAAUUGCCCUAAAGCAGCUACAACCGCUGAUCCCACUGUCGCCGCAGGUAUACUCCUCUUUGACAAUUCUUACACCCGCAACUCUUUUCGAUCCUAGUACCAGAAGGGAAACUUGUUAUCUAUCCAUCUGAGUAAUUUCUAAACUUAAUCCUUUGUGUGUAAUCGAAAUUGAAUACAAUCGAGACGACUAACCAGUGAGAUAGAGAACACUAACUUCGUACCUAUAGAUUGUAUUCUCAGUCCGGAGGAUUAUUCUGUUCCAUUCGAUUUAAUGGAAAAACUUUUCACGAAAUGCUUUGAUGCUAUGUUCGACAUGAAAUGACCGAGUCUCAUUCAUGUUGUUAUCCUUGGUUUUGUAAGGGUCGCCCGUCUAGAUCUUUCCUCCGACCCGACUCUCGUGAUCUUCGGCAUCAAACCUUCGUAUCAUUUCAUACCUUAAAGCUUAAAAGUUUUCCCGAUAUGAAUUGCCAUGCACCCCUCGUUCCUGUAACCAUUGAGAAACGGGAAGUCAGCAGCUCUUUCCCCUAAAUGUCUUUCCUGAAGAAUUCCCGAGAAUUUCUUUCGAAUGUUUAGCUUAGUUCCACAUCGGCCUAACCUCGUGACCGAACCUCAGUGAAAAUGACGUGUUCAAAACGGUGACCAAGAACUGAUAUGAUCACUACGGAUUAGUAGUGGUAUCCUUUCGGUCGAAUCUCUUUCCCUCGAUCAUGUAGCCAAGCAAAGUAUUCGUAACCGUGUACUUUUCCAACGUCUAAGGAAAUAGGGAAUUCGCAGACCUACCCAUAAAUUUCUUCUAAAGCCAUCAGACCCUUAGCUACCCGGCUCCAUUAAGAUGUGCUUUCCUGUUGCAGCGUGUGUCCUAUUGAUGGCUUUAUCCAAGAAAAGCGUGAUACGCUUUAGGGAAGUGUAAAAUACUUCUAUCAUGAUAUAUUAGAUCCUUCGAGAUAUUCGUAGAAUCGAUUGUACAAUCUUCAAACUUCGGAUGCCCUUAGAGCUUGGUAACAUCUAUCUGGUAAUUCACGUCUCGAAUCCUUAAAAGUACCUAUCCGACGAAACCCUAGUGAUUUCCUUUGAGGAAACCGAAGUCGUACAGGGUUGAAACUUCCAUGAGAGAACCGAUUGAGAUCGUAGAUUGAGAGAGAGUCAAUGUAUGAAACAAAGACACAUCCCGAUAGUGAGAAUUCGCUAGAACGCCAAGCGGAGACCCGAUUCCACUUGGGAGCGAGAAGAUCCGAGACAACAAAUCCAUUCGUAUCCCAUUCCAACUCAUGAUCUAUAUCUUAAUCUUUGAAUUUCGGGACGAAAUUCCCUCUAAUGGGGGGAUAAUGUAACAACCCGAAGUUGUUCAUCGCCGAAAACCCAUUCUACUCGUAUAACUCGUCGGAUAUCGAAACAUUCCGAUGUCGUUUUUAGGUUAAGUUAAUUAAACUUAUAUGUUUAAUUGAUGCUAAUGAGUGUCCAAACCCCUUAGGAACUCGUGAAUUAACCUAAAAUAGUUAUUUCAAAAAUUAUAGAAACGUCCCCGCCGGGUUACGAAAACUUAAUCGGGUACGACCAAAAGCCCCGUUUAAUGUCGGUAUCGGGUAGAAUUCCACGAUGUCCAAGCUUUGGGACCUAUUUAAACGUGUUUAAACAUUCAUUUGAAGCUUUUUCUUCCUCUCUCUACUCUCUCUCUAACCUCUCUCCUCAAACCAAGUUUAAGGGUCCAAAAUCAUCAAAUUUAAGCUCCAAAUCACCAAGGUAACUACCCUAACUCCUAGUAUAACAUCUUAGGCCUUCAAAUUCGAGUUCAAAUCAUGGAAUAGGACCAUAUUCAUGAGUUUACGGCCCUAGAACAGUCCUAGGCCGUGAACUCACAUAAAAUGGGUUUUGGAGCCCAAAAACCCUUCCAAUCGACCUUUGGAGCUUAGAUAUGGAUUAAUGGCUUAAUGGAAUGGACUUGGAAUGCCUUAAGCAUGGAUUUUAAAGAGUAAACAUGAGUUUACUGCCCAAGAGCAUGCUUGGGCCGUAAACUCAUAAAAAUGGGGUUUUUAUGCCCUUAAACCCUUCCAAAAUUCCAUUGAAGCUUAG